AAAACAUGUCUUUUUGAAAUAAUAUAAAGUCUAAUCUGCCCACUGAUUAAAUAAUUAAAGGGCUGCAGUAUAUUGACUGUACAAAGGUAGCAUAAUCAUUAGUCAUUUAAUUGAUGACUUGUAUGAAGGAUUUGAUGAGAUAUAAACUGUCUCUUAUUUAAUUAUAAAAUUUAAUUUUUUUAUUAAAAAGUUAAAAUAUUUUAAAAAGACGAGAAGACCCUAUAGAGUUUAAUAAAUUAUUAAAUUGAGAUUAUAUGUAAAACAAAUUUAAAAUUAAAUUGUUUAUUUUGUUGGGGUGACAAAAAAAUACAUUAAACUUUUUUUUUUAAAAAAACAUUUAUAAGUGAUUAAAUGAUCCAAUAAUAUUGAUUAUGAGAAAAAAUUACCUUAGGGAUAACAGCGUAAUUUUUUUUUUUAGUUCAAAUAAGAAAAAGAGUUUGCGACCUCGAUGUUGGAUUAAGAUAAAAUUUAAAUGUAGAAGUU
rnacentral:rRNA from 1 species